AUUGAACGCUGGCGGCAUGCUUUACACAUGCAAGUCGAACGGCAGCGCGGGCUUCGGCCUGGCGGCGAGUGGCGAACGGGUGAGUAAUACAUCGGAACGUGCCCAGUAGUGGGGGAUAGCUCGGCGAAAGCCGGAUUAAUACCGCAUACGACCUGAGGGUGAAAGCGGGGGAUCUUCGGACCUCGCGCUAUUGGAGCGGCCGAUGGCAGAUUAGCUAGUUGGUGGGGUAAAGGCCUACCAAGGCGACGAUCUGUAGCUGGUCUGAGAGGACGACCAGCCACACUGGGACUGAGACACGGCCCAGACUCCUACGGGAGGCAGCAGUGGGGAAUUUUGGACAAUGGGCGAAAGCCUGAUCCAGCAAUGCCGCGUGUGUGAUGAAGGCCUUCGGGUUGUAAAGCACUUUUGGCGGGAACGAAAAGGACUGUGCCAAUACCACGGUUCGAUGACGGUACCCGCAGAAUAGGCACCGGCUAACUACGU
rnacentral:rRNA from 1 species